rnacentral:rRNA from 1 species
UACGUAGGUGGCAAGCGUUGUUCGGAAUCACUGGGCGUAAAGGGCGCGUAGGCGGUUUGCUAAGUCAGUUGUGAAAGCCCGGGGCUCAACCCCGGAGGGUCGGCUGAUACUGGUGGACUAGAGUACGGAAGAGGUAGCUGGAAUUCCCGGUGUAGCGGUGAAAUGCGUAGAUAUCGGGAGGAACGCCUGAGGCGAAGGCGGGCUACUGGGCCGAUACUGACGCUGAUGCGCGAAAGCCAGGGGAGCAAACGGG